rnacentral:misc_RNA from 1 species
GGACUACUCGGGUUUCUAAUCCCUUUCGCUCCCCUAGCUUUCGUCCCUCAGCGUCAGUUGUGGCCCAGUAGAGCGCCUUCGCCACUGGUGUUCUUCCCGAUAUCUACGCAUUUCACCGCUACACCGGGAAUUCCCUCUACCCCUACCACACUCAAGUCUCUCAGUUUCCAUUGCCGAUCCACAGUUAAGCUGUGGGCUUUGACAACAGACUUAAAAAACCGCCUGCGGACGCUUUACGCCCAAUAAUUCCGGAUAACGCUUGCCUCCUCCGUCUUACCGCGGCUGCUG